AUUGAACGCUGGCGGCAUGCCUUACACAUGCAAGUCGAACGGCAGCACGGGAGCAAUCCUGGUGGCGAGUGGCGAACGGGUGAGUAAUAUAUCGGAACGUGCCCAGUCGUGGGGGAUAACGCAGCGAAAGCUGUGCUAAUACCGCAUACGAUCUACGGAUGAAAGCGGGGGAUCGCAAGACCUCGCGCGAUUGGAGCGGCCGAUAUCAGAUGAGCGAGUUGGUGAGGUAAAGGCUCACCAAGGCGACGAUCUGUAGCUGGUCUGAGAGGACGACCAGCCACACUAGAACGGGGGAACGGUCCAGACUCCUACGGGAGGCGGCAGUGGGGAAUUUUGGACAAUGGGCGAAAGCCUGAUCCAGCAAUGCCGCGUGCAGGAUGAAGGCCUUCGGGUUGUAAACUGCUUUUGUACGGAACGAAACGGUGAGCUCUAAUACAGUUUGCUAAUGACGGUACCGAAAGAAUAAGCACCGGCUAACUACGUGCCAGCAGCCGCCGUAA
rnacentral:rRNA from 1 species